UACGUAGGUGGCAAGCGUUGUCCGGAAUUAUUGGGCGUAAAGCGCGCGCAGGCGGUCCUUUAAGUCUGAUGUGAAAGCCCACGGCUCAACCGUGGAGGGUCAUUGGAAACUGGAGGACUUGAGUACAGAAGAGGAAAGCGGAAUUCCACGUGUAGCGGUGAAAUGCGUAGAGAUGUGGAGGAACACCAGUGGCGAAGGCGGCUUUCUGGUCUGUAACUGACGCUGAGGCGCGAAAGCGUGGGGGAGCAAACAGG
rnacentral:rRNA from 1 species